CUCUAAGCCAAACGUCAUAAUCCUUCUGUUCGACACGUAGCUGCCUGAGCUGGUGUUUUGUUUGUUUGUUUUUAUGGUGGGGCCACUGUAACUGCUUAUUGAUGGACAAAUUGGAAACAGACUCUUAGCCAUUUCUCCAAUCUCAAGUCACCGCCUUCGUGACUGGGCAUCAGUGCAGCUUUGUAGAGCAGAACGUUACUUUGUUCCAACGUUGCCUGAUUCUUCUUUGGUUUAUGAAAGCAAUCGCUAAACUCCGUAUUGGAUGCUACCACAGAAUCUCAAGCAACUCAUUUUGUUCUACCAUUUUGUCUAAAAUCCCAACACUGAACUUGACUUAUAAGCUUUGCUGA
rnacentral:lncRNA from 1 species